UACGGGGGGGCAAGCGUUGUUCGGAAUUACUGGGCGUAAAGGGCUCGUAGGCGGCCAACUAAGUCAGACGUGAAAUCCCCAGGCUCAACCUGGGAACUGCGUCCGAUACUGGAUGGCUUGAAUUCGGGAGAGGGAUGCAGAAUUCCAGGUGUAGCGGUGAAAUGCGUAGAUAUCUGGAGGAAUACCGGUGGCGAAGGCGGCAUCCUGGACCGACAUUGACGCUGAUGAGCGAAAGCUAGGGGAGCAAACGGGG
rnacentral:rRNA from 1 species